GCAUAUCAAUAAGCGGAGGAAAAGAAACUAACAAGGAUUCCCCUAGUAAUGGCGAAUGUAGAGGGAAAAACUCAAAUUUUAAAUCUACCUGGUUCCCAGGUCGAGUUGUAAUUUGAAGAAGCGAUAUCGGUGUGGAGGUCUGGUUCAAGUUCUUUGGAACAAGACAUCAUGGAGGGUGAGAAUCCCGUGCAUGAUCAGACCAAGAUACUUAAUAUUCGCUUUCUAGAGUCGAGUUGUUUGGGAAUGCAGCUCAAAUUGGGUGGUAGACUUCACCUAAGGCUAAAUAUCAGCGAGAGACCGAUAGCGAACAAGUACUGUGAAGGAAAGAUGAAAAGAACUUUGAAAAGAGAGUUAAAUAGUACGUGAAAUUGUUGAAAGGGAAACGAUUGAAGUCAGUCAUGCCAGUGAAAAUUCAGUUUGGUGGGUUUUGGGUUCAGGAGUUGAGGCAGGGUCAAACCGUUUCUCUUUUGAUCUUGGAAUUUGUCAGAUGCACUUUUUCUUUGGCAGGUCAGCGUCGAUUUCGGAGGUUGUAAAAUACUUGGGGAAAAGUAGCUCUGCUUCGGGAGAGUGUUUAUAGACCUUGGGUGAUGCGGCCUGCGGGAUCGAGGAUUGCAGCAAAUGCUUUUGGCUUGUCGCCUGAUCUCUGGACGUCAUCUCGCUUGUAUCAACAUUCUUGGUACCGGUGAGUAAUGGUGCUCAUAGGUUAGAGCGAUCAAAAAUUUGCUAAGGAUGCUGACGUAAUGGCUUUAAACGAC
rnacentral:rRNA from 1 species